UACGUAGGUGGCAAGCGUUUGUCCGGAAUUAUUGGGCGUAAAGCGCGCGCAGGUGGUUUCUUAAGUCUGAUGUGAAAGCCCACGGCUCAACCGUGGAGGGUCAUUGGAAACUGGGGAACUUGAGUGCAGGAGAGAAGAGUGGAAUUCCACGUGUAGCGGUGAAAUGCGUAGAGAUGUGGAGGAAUACCAGUGGCGAAGGCGACUCUUUGGCCUGUAACUGACACUGAGGCGCGAAAGCGUGGGGAGCAAACAGG
rnacentral:rRNA from 1 species